rnacentral:misc_RNA from 1 species
UUUCCGUAGGUGAACCUGCGGAAGGAUCAUUAUUGUAUAACCGCGGUGCGAGGGCUGUCGCUGAACCGACAGGUCGUGCACGCCCGAGUGCCCGCACACAAAUCCAACUCACCCCUAUGUGCACCACCGCGUGGGUCCACCGGUGGCUUGUUCGGAGGGGGGUUUACGAUUUCACACAAACGGUGUAUGCAGUGUAGAAUGGAGUUUUGGUUGUUGCGAUCACGCAAUCAAUACAACUUUCAACAACGGAUCUCUUGGCUCUC